CUUGGAUCAUUACAACAUUUUAUACUUAGGUUUUACUCUUAACCUAAUUACUAUACAACUUAACCACAUUUACAUAUAUGGGUCUUUGCUUACUUCUGGUCCAAAAGGCCUUUCUCUUCUUUCUUCUUCUUCUUCCGACGACCACUCUUCUUCGUCUUGCUUAUGCUUCUAAGCUUUUCUUCUCUGCUCCACAUCUUCACCUUACUAGCUUCCAUGUUUCUCUUUUUGUACGAUUAAGUUAUGAAUCAACUUCCAACACUCCCUCUUGAUUCAUUUGCUUAAUCCCCAAAAUCCAAUUUAGGGAUUUGAUCCCAAGUCCCCCGACGCUCCUUCUUCUUCUCGGUUGGUUCGUGAAUCUCUUUCACGACAUUGGCACAGCUCAUCUCAAGCUUGCUUUCUCCCUCAUCAUCUCAUUCUUCAUGAGCUUCCCAUGCCUCUUGUUCUUCGCUGGUGAAUCCGCCUCCUCUCGUGACGAGUUUCUUCUUCACGACAUCAACGAACAUCACAUGCGCUUGGGGUGGUGGAAUCUCUCUGUAUCAUUUCUCAUGCCCUCUGUGCCUUCCUUGGUGACAUUUGAUUCACCAUUGAUGGGUAACACGUUGACUCCAGGUUUGCUAUUCCCUGAGAUUUCUCCAUGUCACCUCCAAGUCUUCUCCAUAUCUACCAGUUGCUUCAACUAGCUUCAGCCCCCUCUAAGGAACCAGUUUAGCCUUGUGGCUUAAUCUCUGUCCUUACAUCUGCUCCAAGCUUUUCCAUGAGCUCUCCCUCACUUUCUUGAAGUCUUGUGCGUGACUCAUGUUCACGUCUUCUUCGGCGCACUGUGCAACCGGUUUAACCUCCCUCUGUGGUGAGCUUCCUCUUUUAUGUUUGGUGUCCUCUUCGAUCACCAUCUCGUGCGUGACACUUGUUCACGUCUUCUUCGGCACUCUGUGCAACCGGCUACAGCUCUCUCUGUGCUUUUGAACCUCUGUCGCUCUCAGCCUUAGUCCGGAUUUAGGGCUUCUCUUUUCCUGCUUCAGCCACAAAAUUCUCCCUCAUGGUUUAAUGCUUCAUAUGCUAAAGAAUUACAUGGAUUCUCAGCUUCAACAAGCAUCUUCAAGCUUCACCUUCACUAUGUCAGAAAAUCAGAGAAUUCACC